rnacentral:tmRNA from 1 species
GGGGAUGUUUUGGUUUUGACAGCAUCGAUCAGGGCAGGCAAGCACGCCGGGCUUUCGAAGGCUGGCCCGUUAAUCUCAACCGACAAUAAUUAGCUGGCAACAGCAACUAUGCACUCGCUGCCUAAUCUGCCAAGCGGAUUGGCUUAAUGGGGACGCCAAGGCUGCGUCACCCACGAGUAUCCCUCCGGCUUUACGGCUUCUCUGUCCGGAUCAAGGGGUAUCAUCCAAGAAGCCUGCACGCGGGGAGUUCCCUAAACUGCGCCAAGACCCAGGGAAUAAGCGUCGGUUCGCCCGUCUUCCGGCAGGCCGCCGCCGACAAUCAAAGGAAGAAUAAGCGUGUAGAAAACCCGUUUUGGCUUUGUUUGGACGGCGGUUCGAGUCCGCCCAUCUCCAC